CCUACGGGUGGCAGCAGUGGGGGAUAUUGGGCAAUGGGCGCAAGCCUGACCCAGCAACGCCGCGUGUGGGAAGAAGGCUUUCGGGUUGUAAACUUCUUUUCUCAGGGACGAAGCAAGUGACGGUACCUGAGGGAUAAGCCACGGCCAACUACGUGCCAGCAGCCGCUGUAAUACGUAGGUGGCAAGCGGUAUCCGGAUUUACUGGGUGUAAAGGGCGUGUAGGCGGGAAAGCAAGUCAGAUGUGAAAAACAUGGGCUCAACCUGUUGCCUGCAUUUGAAACUGUUUUUCUUGAGUGCAGGAGAGGCAGACGGAAUUCCUAGUGUAGCGGUGAAAUGCGUAGAUAUUAGGAGGAACACCAGUGGCGAAGGCGGUCUGCUGGACAGCUACUGACGCUGAGGCGCGAAAGCGUGGGGAGCAAACAGGAUUAGAUACCCUUGUAGUC
rnacentral:rRNA from 1 species